ensembl:snRNA U6 U6 spliceosomal RNA
GUGCUCGCUUCGGCAGCAUGUAUACUAAAAUUGGAACGAUACAGAGAAGAUUAGCAUGACCCCAGCACAAGGAUGACACACAAAUUCAUGAAGCGUUCCAUAUUUUU